GAGGACCUUUAGGAUCAUGGAACCACGGGAUCCUACAAUGGUUGGGGUGGAAGGGACCUUGAAGACUGCAACACCACGGGAUCCUACAAGGGUUGGGGGGGGAGGACCUUUAGGAUUAUGGAACCAUGGGAUCCUACAAUGGUUGGGGUGGAAGGGACCUUAAAGACCAUAACACCAUGGGAUCCUAAAAGGGUUGGGAUGGGCGGACCUUUAGGAUCAUGGCACUGUGGGAUCCCACAAGGUUUGUGUUUUAAAGACGAUACAACCAUGAGAUCCUACAGUGGUUGGGUUGGGAGGAAUCUUUAGGAUCAUGGAACCACGGGGUCCUACAAUGGUUAGGGUGGAAGGGUCCUGAAAGAUCAUCACACCAUGGGAUCCUACAAGGGUUGGGAUGGAGAGGACCUAUAGGAUCGUGGAAACACGGGAUCCUACAAUGGUUGUGGUGGGGGGGAUCUUAGAUAAUAACACCGCGGGAUCCUACAAUGGUUGGGGUAGGAGGACCUUUAGGAUCAUGGAACCAUGAGUUCCCACAAGUGUUGGGGUGGAGAGGACCUUUAGGAUUAUGGAACCAUGAGAUCCCACAAGGGUUGGUGUGGAAGGGAUCUCAAAGUCCAUAACACCAUGGGAUCCUAGAAGGGUUGGGCUGGAGCGGACCUUUAGGAUCAUGGCACAGUGGGAUCCCGCAAGGUUUGGGUUUUAGGGAUCUCAAAGACCACAGAACUGUGGGAUCCUACAACGGUUGGGAUGGAGAGGACCUGUAGGAUUGUGGAACCAUGGGAUCCUACAAUGGUUGGGGUGGAAGGGACCUUAAAGAUCAUAACACGACGGGAUCCUACAGUGGUUGGGACGGAGAGGACCUAUAGGAUCGUGGAAGCACGGGAUCCUACAAUGGUUGGGGUGGAGAGGACCUUUAGGAUUAUGGAACCAUGUGAUCCUACAAGGGUUGGGGUGGGAGGACCUGUAGGAUCCUGGAACCAUGGGAUCCUAAAAUGGUUGGGGUGGAGGGGAUCUCAAAGACCAUAAAACCAUGGGAUCCUACAAGGGUUGGGAUGGGAGGACCUUUCGGAUCAUGGCACUGUGGGAUCCCAAAAGGUUUGGGUUUUAAAGACCAUACAACCAUGAGAUCCUACAGUGGUUGGGUUGGGAGGAAUCUUUAGGAUCAUGGAACCAUGAGAUCCUUCAAUGGUUGGGUGUAAGGGACCUUAAAGAUCUUAACACCACGGGAUCCUACAAGGGUUGGGUUGGAGAGGACCUUUAGGAUCAUGGAACCACGGAAUCCUACAAUGGUUGGGGUGGAAAGGACCUUAAAGAUCAAAACACCACGGGAUCCUACAAGGGUUGGGUUGGAGAGGACCUUUAGGAUCAUGGCUAUGUGGGAUCCCACAAGGGUUGCGUUUUAGGGAUCUCAAAGGCCACAGAACUGUGGGAUCCUACAACGGAUGGGAUGGAGUGGACCUGUAGGAUCGUGGAACCACGGGAUCCCACAAUGGUUGGGGUGGAGGGGACCUUAAAGAUCAUAACACCACAGGAUCCUAAAAUGGUUGGGAUGGAGAGGACCUGUAGGAUCAUGGAAACACGGGAUCCUACAAUGGUUGGGGUGGAAGGGAUCUCAAAGACCAUAACACCACAGGAUCCUACAAGGGUUGGGAUGGGAGGACCUUUAGGAUCAUGGCACUGUGGGAUCCCAAAAGGUUUGGGUUUUAAAGACCAUACAACCAUGAGAUCCUACAGUGCUUGGGUUGGGAGGAAUCUUUAGGAUCAUGGAACCAUGGGAUCCUACAAUGGUUGGGGUGGGAGGACCUUUAGGAUUAUGGAACCAUGUGAUCCUAAAAGGGUUGCGGUGGGAGGACCUUUAGGAUCGUGGAACCACGGGAUCCUAAAAUGGUUGGGGUGUAAGGGACCUUGAAGACCGCAACACCACAGGAUCCUAAAAGGAUUGGGAUGGGAAGACCCUUAGGAUCAUGGCACUGUGGGAUCCCACAAGGUUUGGGUUUUAAAGACCAUACAACCAUGAGAUCCUACAGUGGUUGGGUUGGGAGGAAUCUUUAGGAUCAUGGAAAUAUGGGAUCCUACAAUGGUUGGGGUGGAAGGGACCUUAAAGAUCAUAACACCACCUGAUCCUACAAGGGUUGGGGUGGAGGGGACCUUUAGGAUCAUGGCUGCCUGGGAUCCCACAAGGGUUGGGUUUUAGGGAUCUCAAAGACCACAGAACUGUGGGAUCCUACAGCGUUUGGGAUGGAGAGGACCUGUAGGAUCGUGGAACCACGGGAUCCUACAAUGGUUGGGGUGGAAGGGACCUUAAAGAUCAUAACACCACGGGAUCCUACAAGGGUUGGGGUGGAGAGGACCUUUAGGAUUAUGGAACCAUGAGACCCCACAAGGGUUGGGGUGGAAGGGAUCUCAAAGACCAUAACACCACGGGAUCCUACAAGGGUUGGGGUGGAGAGGACCUUUAGGAUCAUGGCACUGUGGGAUCCCACAAUGUUUGGAUUUAAAGACCAUACAACCAUGAGAUCCUACAGUGGUUGGGUUGGGAGGAAUCUUUAGGAUCAUGGAACCAUGGGAUCCUACAAUGGUUGGGGUGGAGAGGAUAUUUAGGAUCAUAACACCACGGGGUCCUAAAAUGAUUGGGGUGGAAGGGACCUUGAAGACCACAACACCACAGGAUCCUAAAAGGGAUGGGAUGGGAGGACCUUUAGGAUCAUGGAACCAUGGGAUCCUGAAAGGGUUGGGGUGGAGAGGAUAUUUAGGAUCAUGGAACCACGGGAUCCUACAAUGGUUGGGGUGGAAGGGACCUUGAAGACCGCAACACCACAGGAUCCUAAAAGGGUUGGGGUGGAGAGGACAUUUAGGAUCAUGGC
ensembl:lncRNA